rnacentral:rRNA from 1 species
CGGGUGAGUAACGCGUGGGUAACCUGCCUUAUACAGGGGGAGUAACAAGUCAGAAAUGGCUGCUAAUACCGCAUAAGCGCACAGAGCUGCAUGGCUCAGUGUGAAAAACUCCGGUGGUAUAAGAUGGACCCGCGUUGGAUUAGCUUGUUGGUGGGGUAACGGCCCACCAAGGCGACGAUCCAUAGCCGGCCUGAGAGGGUGAACGGCCACAUUGGGACUGAGACACGGCCCAGACUCCUACGGGAGGCAGCAUG